UGGCAAGUGUGUUAAUCAAGACUUUCAUUAGUCGCCGCUCAGAAGAAAUUUUUAGUUCUGAGCGAUAACAUACUUGCUAUAUGAGUCUAGCUCGAGAUGCGUGUGCUGGAUUGCUGUCAAUGCGAUUUGGUUCCUUUUCUCCUCGAGACAUUU
rnacentral:snoRNA from 1 species